AUUGAACGCUGGCGGCAGGCUUAACACAUGCAAGUCGAGCGGAGCGAGGGUGCUCGCACCUUCGCUUAGCGGCGGACGGGCGAGUAAUGCUUACGAAUCUGCCUAUCAGUGGGGGACAACAUGCCGAAAGGAACGCUAAUACCGCAUACGUCCUACGGGAGAAAGUGGGUGAUCUUCGGACCUCACGCGAUCAGCUGAGCCUAGGUCGGAUUAGCUAGUUGGUAGGGUAAAGGCCUACCAAGGCGACGAUCCGUAACUGGUCUGAGAGGAUGAUCAGUCACACUGGAACUGAGACACGGUCCAGACUCCUACGGGAGGCAGCAGUGGGGAAUAUUGGACAAUGGGCGAAAGCCUGAUCCAGCCAUGCCGCGUGUGUGAAGAAGGCCUUCGGGUCGUAAAGCACUUUAAGUUGGGAGGAAGGGCUCAUAGCGAAUACCUGUGAGUUUUGACGUUACCAACAGAAUAAGCACCGGCUAACUUCGUGCCAGCAGCCGCAGUAA
rnacentral:rRNA from 1 species